rnacentral:rRNA from 2 species
UUCGGUGGUCAUAGCGUGAGGGAAACGCCCGGUCCCAUUUCGAACCCGGAAGCUAAGCCUCAAAGCGCCGAUGGUACUGCAAGGGGGACCUUGUGGGAGAGUAGGACGCCGCCGAAC